UGGGGAAUAUUGCACAAUGGGGGAAACCCUGAUGCAGCGACGCCGCGUGAGCGAUGAAGGCUUUCGAGUCGUAAAGCUCUGUCCUAUGGGAAGAUAAUGACGGUACCAUAGAAGAAAGCCCCGGCUAAUUACGUGCCAGCAGCCGCGGUAAUACGUAAGGGGCGAGCGUUGUCCGGAUUCAUUGGGCGUAAAGCGCUCGUAGGCGGUCUGUUAGGUCGGCAAGUUAAAUCCGGGGGCUCAACCCCCGUCCGCUUCCGAUACCGGCAGACUUGAGUUUGGUAGGGGAAGGUGGAAUUCCUAGUGUAGCGGUGGAAUGCGCAGAUAUUAGGAAGAACACCGGUGGCGAAGGCGGCCUUCUGGGCCAUAACUGACGCUGAGGAGCGAAAGCUAGGGGAGCGAACAGG
rnacentral:rRNA from 1 species